CCUAGUUUACCAUGACCUCUUCAGAGACCCUCUGAACUGGUCACAACCUGGGGAAGCUGCUCCUGAAGGACCUCUAAAAGCCUUGAGAUCCAUGUGCAGAAGGACAGACCGUGGCUCUGUCACCAUCGCCCUUGACUCUCUCAGCUGGCUGCUAUGUCACAUUCCCUGUGUUACACUCUGUCAAGCCCUACAUGCUCUGAGCCAGCGAAAUGUAGACCCAGGUGCAGGGUCUGUUUUCGAGGGUUUUCUGGAAUCGAGAACAUCUGCCUCCACUGCUAGAGCUCUAGCAUACACCUAAAUUAAGAGAGCUGUGAGGAUUUUGUUUGGAUUACAUUUUUUUGUGUGAUUCUUGUCUGCACAUACUUCUGUGCACCGUGCGCUUGCCUGGUGGAGGAUGUGCAGGGUCUGGCUGGGCAGAGAGGAUGGUCCACCCUGAGCGUCUGAUCUGCUUUUGCCUCCUGGCUGAGUACAGGCCUGUACUUCCAUGCAGUGUACAGGGCGCUAAGGCUGGAGGCCAGGGGUGAUGUGAGCCAGGCAGCUGUGCUCAAUAGCUCAUUCCUCCUUUAACAAGUAUAACAAGUGCAUCAUCAGGUACAAUUUUAAAUAAUGGAAAAGCAAAGGCUGACCUUUCAGGUCAUAAAAAAUAUAAAAAAGUAAAUGGCUGGAAAUAAAUUCCACACUUAC
rnacentral:lncRNA from 1 species